rnacentral:rRNA from 1 species
GAUCAUGGCUCAGGACGAACGACUGCGGCGCGCCUAACACAUGCAAGUCGAACGGAGUUUACAGACGGAAGUUUUCGGAUGGAAGCUUGUAAACUUAGUGGCGGACGGGUGAGUAACACGUGAGUAACCUGCCUAUCAGAGGGGAUAACGAUUGGAAACGAUCGCUAAUACCGCAUGACAUAGCGGAAUCGCAUGGUUCUGUUAUCAAAGAUUUUAUCGCUGAUAGAUGGG